rnacentral:rRNA from 1 species
UCUCGGGGUUACAGCCUUGCUGAAUUAUUCACCCUUGUCUUUUGCGUACUUCUUGUUUCCUUGGUGGGUUCGCCCACCACUAGGACAAACAUAAACCUUUUGUAAUUGCAAUCAGCGUCAGUAACAAAUUAAUAAUUACAACUUUCAACAACGGAUCUCUUGGUUCUGGCAUCGAUGAAGAACGCAGCGAAAUGCGAUAAGUAGUGUGAAUUGCAGAAUUCAGUGAAUCAUCGAAUCUUUGAACGCACAUUGCGCCCUUUGGUAUUCCAAAGGGCAUGCCUGUUCGAGCGUCAUUUGUACCCUCAAGCUUUGCUUGGUGUUGGGCGUCUUGUCUCUAGCUUUGCUGGAGACUCGCCUUAAAGUAAUUGGCAGCCGGCCUACUGGUUUCGGAGCGCAGCACAAGUCGCACUCUCUAUCAGCAAAGGUCUAGCAUCCAUUAAGCCUUUUUUUCAACUUUUGACCUCGGAUCAGGUAGGGAUACCCGCUGAACUUAAGCAUAUCAA